CAUUGCUGGCUGCUGCUGCUAAGUCGCUUCAGUUGUGUCCGACUCUUUGUGACCCCAUGGACUGUAGCCCACUAGGCUCCUCUGUCUCCGGGAUUCUCCAGGCAAGAACACCGGAGUGGGUUGCCAUUUCCUUCUCCAAACAUAUUGCUGGAGGAUUCUCCCAACAAGCCCGCACUUGGGCUCAGCAGAAGGGAGUCCACCCACCCUUGGCACCAGACGUAGACGAUCUGCUGGCAACCAACAGUCAGGUGCCAACUCCGGCCGUGGCUGAACAAAGCACCUCGGGGCAUGCAAUCUGACCUCAUGACGGCCCACCCCAGUUGACUGGCAGACGGUAAAGAAUCGCCUGCAAUGUGGGAGACCUGGGUUCGAUCCCUGAGUCGGGAAGAUCCCCUGGAGAAGGGCACGGCAACCCAUUCCAGUAUUCUGACCUGGAGAAUCCCAUGGACCAGAGGAGCCUGGUGGGCUCAGUCCAGGGGGUCACAAAGAGUCACACACAGCUGAAAGAGGUAGCUGUGAAGGUUUGGACAUCGGAUUUGACACUCCACAGUGCAGAGGCCAGAACAUGAAGCUGGGGUUUUCCAGCCCAAUGAGGGGACUGAGAACUGUCUCAGAGAUGAAUCUUCAGGGUGGAGAAGGAAGACAUGUCUGUGAAGAAAAGAAAGAAAAUGCAGCAGGAGGAGAAAAGGCAACCAGGAGAGAAUCACAAAAGUCCCACAGGAACUAACAUUCUUCAUGAAGCUUCAGAGUCAAAUGUUCGGGUCACAUUAAACUAGAAUUUCCAGCAAGCAAACUGUCCAGCAUUACUGAGGACCUGAGAAGCCGAGAGAGAAACUAACCACAUGGCACUUACAUUGUUUAUGAAAUGAAUCUAUUUUCCCUCUCCGUGGUAACCAAGUUCAAAACGCACAUGUAUUUUGCGACAAGAUCUUUCCCUUCAUUCUUUAGGAUGUUUUGGUAUUAAAAGCUCUAACAUCCGUCAAGGAUGCAAAACAGGGGCUUUCCCCAUGGUCCAGUGACUAAGAAUCUGCCUGCCAGUGCAGGAGACGCGGGUUUGAUCCCCGCUCAGGGAAGAUUCCACGUGCCGUGGAGCAACUAAGCCUGCACCCCACGACUACUGAAGCCCGCGUGCCUUAGACCCUGUGCUCUGCAACAAGAGAAGCCACCCCAGUGAGAAGGCCCUGCACCUCAACUAGACAGAAGUCACCACUGGCCACAACCAAAGCAAGUCACGGUGCAGCAACGAAGAUCCACACAGCCAAAUAAAUAAAUAUAUAUAUAUAAAUUUGAAAAAAAAAAAUUAAACAGCAACUCAAGUUUGGUCUUGCUGCUGCUGCUGCUAAAUCUCAUCUGAUUGUCCCAGACCCCAGCUCUCACCUCUGCUCAG
ensembl:lncRNA